CCAGUGAGGCGGCCUAAUACAUCGAACUUGAGCGAGCUGAAUUAGCGAUGCAUUUGGGUUCAUUUGCUGAAUGGUAGCGCCGGAUGGGUGAGUAACACGUGGGCAAUCUGCCCUUAAGACUGGGAUACCACUUGGAAACAGGUGCUAAUACCGGAUAUCAACACUAAUCGCAUGAUUCAAAUGUGAAAGACAGCCCAAGGUGUCACUCUAGGAUGAUCCCGCGGUGCAUUAGCUAGUUGGUGAGGUAAAGGCUCACCAAGGCAAUGAUGCAUAGCCGACCUGAGAGGGUGAUCGGCCACAUUGGGACUGAGACACGGCCCAAACUCCUACGGGAGGCAGCAGUAGGGAAUCUUCGGCAAUGGACGAAAGUCUGAUGGAGCAACGCCGCGUGAGUGAAGAAGGUUUUCGGAUCGUAAAGCUCUGUUGGUGGAGAAGAAGGAUGGUGGGAGUAACUGGUUCUUCAUUGGCGGUAAUCAACCAGAAAGGCACGGCUAACUACGUGCCAGCAGCCGCGGUAAUACGUAGGGUGCAAGCGUUGUUCGGAUUUAUUGGGCGUAAAGCGAGCGCAGGCGGAAUGUUAAGUCUGAUGUGAAAGGCCACGGCUCAACCGUGGAACUGCAUGGGAAACUGGGAGUCUUGAGUGCAGAAGAGGAGAGUGGAAUUCCAUGUGUAGCGGUGGAAUGCGUAGAUAUAUGGAGGAACACCAGUGGCGAAGGCGGCUCUCUGGUCUGCAACUGACGCUGAGGCUCGAAAGCAUGGGUAGCAAACAGGAUUAAAUACCCUGGUAGUCCAUGCCGUAAACGAUGAGGGCUAAGUGUUGGAGACUUUCCGUCCCUCAAUGCCGCAUCAAACGCAUUAAGCUCUCCCCCGGGGGAGUACGACCGCAGGGUUGAAACUCAAAGGAUUUGAGGGGGGCCCGCACAAGCGGGGGAGCAUGGGUUUUAUUUCAAAGCAACGCAAAAAACUUUACCGGGUUUUGACAUCCUGGGCUACCCCUAAAAAUAGGAGUUUCCCUUCGGGGACGCAUAGACGGGGGGUGCGUGUUUGUCCUCAUCUCGUGUCGUGAGAUGUUGGGUUAAGUCCCGCAACGAGCGCACCCCUUGUUUUUAUUUGCCAUCUUUAAUUUGGGCACUCUAGAGAGACUGCCGGUGACAAACCGGAAGAAGGUGGGGAUGACGUCAACUCAUCGUGCCCCUUAUGACGUGGUCUACACACGUGCUACAGUGGGCAGUACAACGAGACGCGAACCCGCGAGGUUAAGCGUAUCUCUUAAAGCUUCUCUCAUUUCAGAGUGCGGUCUGCAUCUCGCCUGCGCGAAGCUAGAAUCUCUAGUAAUCGCGGAUCAACAUCGGGGGGAAAAACUCUCUCCCGGGGCUUUUGCCCCCCCGCCCCCUCACCCCAGGGGAAUUGGGGUAUGCCCAAAGUCGGUGGGAUAACCUUUGGAGGAGGCUUCCUCCUGAGGGAACGCAGAUGGAUGGGGUGAGC
rnacentral:rRNA from 1 species